AUACGUAGGUGGCAAGCGUUGUCCGGAAUUAUUGGGCGUAAAGCGCAUGUAGGCGGUUUGGUAAGUCGGUCGUGAAAAUGCGGUGCUUAACGCCGUAUGGCGAUUGAAACUGCUGAACUUGAGUGCAGGAGAGGAAAGGGGAACUCCCAGUGUAGCGGUGAAAUGGGUAGAUAUUGGGAAGAAACCCGGGGGCGAAGGGGCCUUUCUGGACUGUGCCUGACGCUCAGAUGCGAAAGCCAGGGUAGCGAACGGGAUUAGAUACCCCGGUAGUCCUGGCCGUAAACGAUGGGUACUAGGUGUGGGAGGGAUCGACUCCUUCCGUGCCGGAGUUAACGCAAUAAGUACCCCGCCUGGGGAGUACGGCCGCAAGGCUUAAACUCAAAGGAAUUGACGGGG
rnacentral:rRNA from 1 species